UCUCUCUCUCUCUCUCUCUCUCUCUCUCUCUCUCUCGCUAGGAAGGGUAGAAGGGAAACCUUGUGAAUAUAUUUCCUUAAACUUUUCAUUUCAACUCUUCUGAGAUGUCAGUGAUUCAACAAAAAUGGCGAUCAGGUGAAAAUUCACGAUUUUAUUUUCUAAACCAAAAAUUCGAAUUUGACCACCCUCGUUGAUCCAGUGAGAGGAAGAAAAUAUCUUGAUCUGGUGGAAGACUGAAUGAACGAGAAAUAUCUUUCUAUACUCUCUCUCUCUCUCUCUCAAAAUCUCUCUCUAGGAAAAUAUGUGAUGAAUAUAGUCC
rnacentral:lncRNA from 1 species